AUUGGACGCUGGCGGCAGGCCUAACACAUGCAAGUCGAGCGGAUGAAGGGAGCUUGCUCCUGGAUUCAGCGGCGGACGGGUGAGUAAUGCCUAGGAAUCUGCCUGGUAGUGGGGGAUAACGUCCGGAAACGGGCGCUAAUACCGCAUACGUCCUGAGGGAGAAAGUGGGGGAUCUUCGGACCUCACGCUAUCAGAUGAGCCUAGGUCGGAUUAGCUAGUUGGUGGGGUAAAGGCCUACCAAGGCGACGAUCCGUAACUGGUCUGAGAGGAUGAUCAGUCACACUGGAACUGAGACACGGUCCAGACUCCUACGGGAGGCAGCAGUGGGGAAUAUUGGACAAUGGGCGAAAGCCUGAUCCAGCCGUGCCGCGUGUGUGAAGAAGGUCUUCGGAUUGUAAAGCACUUUAAGUUGGGAGGAAGGGCAGUAAGUUAAUACCUUGCUGUUUUGACGUUACCAACAGAAUAAGCACCGGCUAACUUCGUG
rnacentral:rRNA from 1 species